GCAACUUAUUUUUCUCAAUGCCCCUUGGCAACCAUUAUCCACCUGACCGUUUUCUCUCCUUUUUUCGGUUCGGUUCAGGCAUUUCUUGCAUUGCUUUUUUCUUCUUCUUUUCUUUUCUUUUCUUUCUUUCUUUCUCUUUUUUUUUUGUUUUUUUUUUUGCAGGAUCGACCUCGAUUCCUCUUUCGUUCACAAUAAGCCUCGGCAACUUACCAGACAGCACUCCACAAGUGCACUGCUUCGGACUCAACCUCAGUCUGAGUUGUCUCAACCCGGUCAAGCGACUUGCCC
rnacentral:lncRNA from 1 species